rnacentral:rRNA from 1 species
CGGGAAUCUUGCGCAAUGGGCGAAAGCCUGACGCAGCAACGCCGUGUGGGUGAGGAAGGCCCUAGGGUCGUAAAGCCCUGUUGUUGGGGACGAAGGGCGAAGGGUUAAUAGCCCCUAGCUUGACGGUACCCUUCGAGGAAGCCCCGGCUAACUACGUGCCAGCAGCCGCGGUAAUACGUAGGGGGCGAGCGUUGUCCGGAAUUAUUGGGCGUAAAGAGCGUGUAGGCGGUUUGGUAAGUCUGCCGUGAAAACCCAGGGCUUAACCCUGGGCGUGCGGUGGAAACUGCCAGGCUAGAGGAUGGUAGAGGCGAGUGGAAUUCCGAGUGUAGCGGUGAAAUGCGCAGAUAUUCGGAGGAACACCAGUAGCGAAGGCGGCUCGCUGGGCCAUACCUGACGCUGAGACGCGAAAGCGUGGGGAGCGAAC